rnacentral:rRNA from 1 species
AUUGAACGCUGGCGACAGGCUUAACACAUGCAAGUCGAGGGGCAGCAUAAAAGUAGCAAUACUUUGGUGGCGACCGGCGCACGGGUGAGUAACGCGUAUGCAACCUACCUAUCAGAGGGGAAUAACCCGGCGAAAGUCGGACUAAUACCGCAUAAAACAGGGGCACCGCAUGGUGAUAUUUGUUAAAGAAAUUCGCUGAUAGAUGGGCAUGCGUUCCAUUAGGUAGUUGGGGAGGUAACGGCUCACCAAGCCGACGAUGGAUAGGGGAGCUGAGAGGUUGGUCCCCCACACUGGUACUGAGACACGGACCAGACUCCUACGGGAGGCAGCAGUGAGGAAUAUUGGUCAAUGGGCGAGAGCCUGAACCAGCCAAGUCGCGUGAAGGAAGAAGGAUCUAUGGUUCGUAAACUUCUUUUGCAGGGGAAUAAAGUGCAGGACGUGUCCUGUUUUGUAUGUACCCUGAGAAUAAGGAUCGGCUAACUCCGUGCCAGCCGCCGCCGUAAAAC